rnacentral:rRNA from 1 species
CCUACACAUGCAAGUCGAACGGGAAGCGGUGCAUAUUGCUUCGGUGAUAAUGUGCCGUGGAGAGUGGCGAACGGGUGCGUAACACGUAGGUAACCUGCCCUGAAAGGGGGGAUAACCACGGGAAACUGUGGCUAAUACCGUAUAAUCUCGCCGUGGCGGUGGUUACGGUGAGGAAAGCUGAGGCGAUUUGGGAGGGGCCUGCGGUCGAUUAGCUGGUUGGUGGGGUAAAGGCCCACCAAGGCGAUGAUCGAUAGCUGUUCUGAGAGGAAGACCAGCCACACGGGAACUGAGACACGGUUCCGACUCCUACGGGGGGCAGCAGUGAGGAAUAUUGCGCAAUGGGGGGAACCCUGACGCAGCAACGCCGCGUGGAGGACGAAGGUUUUCGGAUUGUAAACUCCUUAACUGGGGGAAGAGAGAGGACGGUACCCCAGGACGAAGACACGGCUAACUAGGUGCCAGCAGCCGCGGUAAUACCUAGGUGUCGAGCGUUAUCCGGAAUUACUGGGCGUAAAGGGUGCGCAGGCGGUGUUACAAGUCCGGCGUGAAAGCUUCUGGCUUAACUGGGAGAGGACGUCGGAAA